GACGAACGCUGGCGGCGUGCCUAAUACAUGCAAGUAGAACGCUGAAGGAGGAGCUUGCUCUUCUGGAUGAGUUGCGAACGGGUGAGUAACGCGUAGGUAACCUGCCUGGUAGCGGGGGAUAACUAUUGGAAACGAUAGCUAAUACCGCAUAAAAUUGAUUAUUGCAUGAUAGUCAAUUAAAAGGUGCAAUUGCAUCACUACCAGAUGGACCUGCGUUGUAUUAGCUAGUUGGUGAGGUAACGGCUCACCAAGGCAACGAUACAUAGCCGACCUGAGAGGGUGAUCGGCCACACUGGGACUGAGACACGGCCCAGACUCCUACGGGAGGCAGCAGUAGGGAAUCUUCGGCAAUGGACGGAAGUCUGACCGAGCAACGCCGCGUGAGUGAAGAAGGUUUUCGGAUCGUAAAGCUCUGUUGUAAGAGAAGAACGAGUGUGAGAGUGGAAAGUUCACACUGUGACGGUAUCUUACCAGAAAGGGACGGCUAACUACGUG
rnacentral:rRNA from 1 species